rnacentral:rRNA from 1 species
CCUAACACAUGCAAGUCGAGCGGCAGCACGGGUACUUGUACCUGGUGGCGAGCGGCGGACGGGUGAAUAAUGCCUAGGAAUCUGCCUGGUAGUGGGGGAUAACGCUCGGAAACGGACGCUAAUACCGCAUACGUCCUACGGGAGAAAGCAGGGGACCUUCGGGCCUUGCGCUAUCAGAUGAGCCUAGGUCGGAUUAGCUAGUUGGUGAGGUAAUGGCUCACCAAGGCGACGAUCCGUAACUGGUCUGAGAGGAUGAUCAGUCACACUGGAACUGAGACACGGUCCAGACUCCUACGGGAGGCAGCAGUGGGGAAUAUUGGACAAUGGGCGAAAGCCUGAUCCAGCCAUGCCGCGUGUGUGAAGAAGGUCUUCGGAUUGUAAAGCACUUUAAGUUGGGAGGAAGGGCAUUUACCUAAUACGUAAGUGUUUUGACGUUACCGACAGAAUAAGCACCGGCUAACUCUGUGCCAGCAGCCGCGGUAAUACAGAGGGUGCAAGCGUUAAUCGGAAUUACUGGGCGUAAAGCGCGCGUAGGUGGUUCGUUAAGUUGGAUGUGAAAUCCCCGGGCUCAACCUGGGAACUGCAUUCAAAACUGUCGAGCUAGAGUAUGGUAGAGGGUGGUGGAAUUUCCUGUGUAGCGGUGAAAUGCGUAGAUAUAGGAAGGAACACCAGUGGCGAAGGCGACCACCUGGACUGAUACUGACACUGAGGUGCGAAAGCGUGGGGAGCAAACAGGAUUAGAUACCC